rnacentral:lncRNA from 1 species
CGGUCCAAUAAAAGCAAAAACAUAGAUAAAAUAAUAAAAUAAAAACAGUCCAUAGUGUUUGAUUACAAACGGGCUACAAGGCCCAAACCAAAACAAAGUUGUGGCCCAAGACAGAGGAUGAAACCCUAGGGUUUCAAAUUUUCAACAGCGCCGCAACUGAGCCUUUGAAUCUCCGCAUCUUCGCCUGCAAGAAAUAAACACAAGAAAGGAAAGAGAAAUCAAAUCAAAUCAGAUUGAAUCAAUCAAAAUUUGUUUCUUGAUUUAUUUUAUUCAUUCGGCUAUAAAAAGCCAAAAACAAUACUGUAACAGGAUCUGAUUUCGAAAUAAAAAGAUAUAAACUACAACUUUCACAAUAUCAAGAGCAAAAAUCAAAGCAAAGGUUGAUACUAGCAUUUCUAUUUUAUUUUAUUUUUUAUAUUUAUUUAUUGUUAUUAUUUAUAUAAAUACAAAAGGGAAGGAAAAACCUAUUUGCGAGCCCUAAUCGCCGCGGAUGGCCGAGGAAGUCGUCACCGAGGAUUGACGACCGGAAGCCGAAAGGUUUCUAUACAUUUAGGGGCCUUUUUGUUAAUUUUUCGCGGGAUUUGAGCCCGGAUCUAGGCUUAGGGGGUCAAGAAGGUUAAAAAAGAUUUUUUUUUACUUUUUCCGGCCACCGCGGAAGGUGGUGCCGGCGCCGGAGAUCAGCGACUGGCGCGGUGGCCGGUGACCGGCCGAUGACCGUACAGAAGGACGGUGUCCAGGGGGUUGAGAGCUUUUCUUUGAAGGAUUUUCGUUUUUUU